rnacentral:lncRNA from 1 species
AUUGUGGACACUUCCAAGCACACUCAGCACUACAGGGAACGGCCCAGGAACCCAUCCACCCGUCCCCAGCUCUCAUCACUCUGACCUCUGGCUUUUUGUUUCCUGGGGCAUUUCACAGCAAAUUCCACCUAUGAGACCGUCUCAUCCGUAAUACACCAGUACAUGCUUCCAGCAGCUUGGUGACAUGAAAGGACCUCCGUGGCUGGCCUUACUCCCUGUGGAUGCCACAGCUGCAGGAUCCUGGGGCCCCAACAGAAGCCGGUGAAGGAAGAGUUCCUGCUCCAGCAGAACAAAACUGCCCUUUGCCCAGAAAUCCUGCAAACUGAGGCUGGACGACUUGAAAUACUCAUCAGCGAGAUUACCACGAAGCCCAGGUGCGAGGGACCCUCACGCCUGUUGCUGCGUGGGCCGCCCAGACAUCGCCAGAGACCAAACCGCAGAAGAUGCUCGGAGCCCAACAUCUACAAACCUGCCCCGCCACGGCCCCCAGGCUCAGAAACUGGUUUUUAGUCAGCUCCAAUGAUUAGCUUUUUUUUUUUUUCUUUUGUUUCCAUAGAAAUGCCUCUUCAAAGCAUUAUGGGACAACACACCCACCCAGUUUCUGUACCGUGGAGCUUCUUGGGGAAGUUUCAGACUAGGAAACAAUGGGGCUCAGGACACAUCACCCCAAAGUAUGACUGUAGGAGACCAGAAUACGCCACCCCUAAAUAUGACUAUAGGAGACCAGAAUACGUCACCCCAAAAUAUGACUGUAGGAGACCAGAAUACGCCACCCCAAAAU